UACGAGGGGGGCAAGCGUUGUUCGGAAUUAUUGGGCGUAAAGGGCGCGUAGGCGGUGCGGUAAGUCACCUGUGAAAACUCUGGGCUCAACUCAGAGCCUGCAGGCGAAACUGCCGUGCUUGAGUGUGGGAGAGGUGCGUGGAAUUCCCGGUGUAGCGGUGAAAUGCGUAGAUAUCGGGAGGAACAUCUGUGGCGAAAGCGGCGCACUGGACCACAACUGACGCUGAGACACGAAAGCGUGGGUAGCAAACAGG
rnacentral:rRNA from 1 species